rnacentral:rRNA from 1 species
GACGAACGCUGGCGGCGUGCCUAACACAUGCAAGUCGAGCGAUGAAAUUAGAAACGGAGUCUUCGGACGAAGAGGAAAAUGGAUUAGCGGCGGACGGGUGAGUAACACGUGAGCAACCUGCCUAUCACAUCGGGAUAGCCUCGGGAAACUGGGAUUAAUACCGAAUGAAACAUAAUCACUGCCGAGUGGAAAUGUCAAAGAUUUAUCGGUGAUAGAUGGGCUCGCGUCGGAUUAGCUAGUUGGUGAGGUAAUGGCUCACCAAGGCGACGAUCAGUAGCCGGCCUGAGAGGGUGAACGGCCACAUUGGGACUGAGACACGGCCCAAACUCCUACGGGAGGCAGCAGUGGGGAAUAUUGCACAAUGGAGGGAACUCUGAUGCAGCGACGCCGCGUGAGCGAUGAAGGCUUUCGAGUCGUAAAGCUCUGUCGAAUGGGAAGAUAAUGACGGUACCAUUUGAGAAAGCCCCGGCUAACUACGUGCCAGCAGCCGCAGUAACAC